AUACUCAUACAUAAGCGGAGGAAAAGAAACUAACAAGGAUUCCCCUAGUAACUGCGAGUGAAGCGGGAAAAGCUCAAAUUUAAAAUCUGGCAGUCUCUGGCUGUCCGAGUUGUAAUCUAGAGAAGUAAUGCCCGUGCUGGACCGUGUAUAAGUCUCCUGGGAUGGGGCGUCAUAGAGGGUGAGAAUCCCGUCUUUGACACGGACUACCAGUGCAUUGUGGUAUGCUCUCAAAGAGUCGAGUUGUUUGGGAAUGCAGCUCAAAAUGGGUGGUAAAUUCCAUCUAAAGCUAAAUAUUGGCGAGAGACCGAUAGCGAACAAGUACCGUGAGGGAAAGAUGAAAAGAACUUUGGAAAGAGAGUUAAACAGUACGUGAAAUUGCUGAAAGGGAAACGCUUGAAGUCAGUCGCGUUGGCCGGGAAUCAGCCUUGCUUCUGCAUGGUGUACUUUCUGGUUGACGGGUCAGCAUCAAUUUUGACCGCUGGAAAAAGGCCUGGGGAAUGUGGCAGCUUCGGCUGUGUUAUAGCCCCUAGUUGCAUACAGUGGUUGGGAUUGAGGAACUCAGCACGCCGCAAGGCCGGGUUUCGACCACGUUCGUGCUUAGGAUGCUGGCAUAAUGGCUUUAAGCGACCCGUCUUGAAACACGGACCAAGGAGUCUAACAUGCCUGCGAGUAUUUGGGUGGAAAACUCAAGUGCGUAAUGAAAGUGAAAGUUGAGAUCCCUGUCGUGGGGAGCAUCGACGCCCGGACCAGAACUUUUGGGACGGAUCCGCGGUGGAGCAUGUAUGUUGGGACCCGAAAGAUGGUGAACUAUGCCUGAAUAGGGUGAAGCCAGAGGAAACUCUGGUGGAGGCUCGUAGCGAUUCUGACGUGCAAAUCGAUCGUCAAAUUUGGGUAUAGGGGCGAAAGACUAAUCGAACCAUCUAUGGCCA
rnacentral:rRNA from 1 species